rnacentral:rRNA from 1 species
AACGAACGCUGGCGGCAUGCCUAACACAUGCAAGUCGAACGAGACCUUCGGGUCUAGUGGCGCACGGGUGCGUAACGCGUGGGAACCUGCCCUUAGGUUCGGAAUAACUCCCCGAAAGGGGUGCUAAUACCGGAUAAUGUCUUCGGACCAAAGAUUUAUCGCCUUUGGAUGGGCCCGCGUUGGAUUAGCUAGUUGGUAGGGUAAAAGCCUACCAAGGCGACGAUCCAUAGCUGGUCUGAGAGGAUGAUCAGCCACACUGGGACUGAGACACGGCCCAGACUCCUACGGGAGGCAGCAGUGGGGAAUAUUGGACAAUGGGCGAAAGCCUGAUCCAGCAAGGCCGCGUGAGUGAUGAAGGCCUUAGGGUUGUAAAGCUCUUUUACCCGGGAUGAUAAUGACAGUACCGGGAGAAUAAGCGCCGGCUAACUCCGU